AUUUCAUAAUAAAAUCCUUAUUUCAUUGCUUCCUGUUUUCUCAGGGUCACCCCAAAGUGUGGAGAAGUAAGAAACAGAACAACAAAGAAAAAAAUGUUUAAGUUGGCUCCAUCUCAAAUUCUUCAGGGUGUUGUGUUUGACUAGGUACAAAGGAUGACCUGAGAUCGUUUCAAGAGAAUACUUUAUUCCUCUUCAUUUGCCUUAGCAUUUAUAAUGUACAGAAGCAUUUCAUUCUAAAGCCCAAGAGAUGACUGAGGAGAGAUGGCAAUGAUACUUAGAGCCGGGACUACAAGGACGGUGCCUCUUGCCCAUACUCCUAGAUGGGUUUCACUCUAGGCUUAUAAUCAUCACGAAAGCAAGAAGUGAAAGGGAAGAUCCCCAUAGAGGAUCUAAAUAUAUACAACCCCAUCAAAAGAGAGGAAAACAAGAGCAAUGGCCCUCCUCCAAUCAAGAUGCCUACUGUGAAGGGAGGCUCAGAGCCGUGGCACCCUGAGCACCAAUUUUCCAGACAGCUUUGGCCCAACACUGGCUAAAUGCCCCACUCUCUGCAUGGACAGCUGGCAUUGCUCAGAAGGGGUAACGAGAGAACAACUCUACAGAAAUGCCAAACCUUUAUAUAGGCUCUGAGAGACACUCGGAAAACUGGAAAGAGCACUAGACUUAGAUACAGAGGGCUUGGGUGUAAUUUCUUGCUCAAUCACUAAUGGGCUCAAUGACUUUAGUUUCCUGACCUGCUUGAAUCUCAGUGCCUUUCCCCAUCUGUAAAGAUUAGAUACCUGCUACCAUUCCUUCCAACUCCUGUGUUCCAUAAUUCCCCCACAAAUCCAUAAACUAAGUAGGUUAAGGUUCUUAUCAAUGGAGAGGAGUGUGGAAAGAGCAGGAAUUGACACAUUUGGCCUGUCUUGCAUAGUUUGUACCCACAGAAACGAAUUCUAACAGUGUACUCCCUGUUCCUGGCAACACUGUGGGUGACAAGAAAAGACCAAAUACAUUGGAUGAUCCCUAAAGAACCAAAAAGCAGCAAAGAGAAGUACCAAUCCAGGCAAGUAGUUGUCUUCGAUAAAAAAGUGCAACGGAAUGGAGACAUGCCCCUACACUGCACUUUCACUUCAGAUUCACAAUGUCACUGCAGAAGGAAACAAUCAACCCUGACAGGGAAACAAUAGCACUGGAAGACCAGGACUCUCCAGAGAAGGCUAAGGAGAGAGUGGAACGAAUACUCACUAACUGGCCUUUUGUUUGCCACAAUUUCUAUUAGUCAUGGAAAAAAACAGACAUGGUUGACAAGCGCCCAGAUAGGUUAUUGAGGAGGUAAAAGGUCACUGAGAGUCUCAGUGAGGAGAAACCUUAGGAACUGAUGCAUUUCUUGUACUUUGAGCACAAUGUUCAAAAUAACAUGCAGAGAAGCUUACCGAAUGUAUCAGAGCAGUGAAAACACAUCAGAGACUGCGUUCAAACUCAGUUUUUCUGCCUACCAGUAGCUUUUGCAGUGGGUGAGUUUUACUAAGCAAGUAAAAACACUCCUUGUGGCUGGAUGGACAGGAUGAAGUAGAUGAAAGGCAUUGAAAUGGACAGAGGAGUAAAGAAUCUGUCAAAAGAGUCAGCACCCUUGCCAUUGAAAAUCAGAAUGGAAGAUGGGUGACCCCAGCCUUAUAUCUUAUGGCAACUGUUCUACUGGCCAAGUGAGCAAGAAAACAUUCACUCUCUCUAGAUCUCAAUUUCCCCAGCUCUAAUAAACAAUUAGCAAGAUGAUCUCCAAAAUCUCCUCCCAUGACAAUAAUUUAUGUUCUGUAAUGGUAUGACUUCUCUCGA